rnacentral:rRNA from 2 species
CCUACGGGAGGCAGCAGUGGGGAAUAUUGCACAAUGGGGGAAACCCUGAUGCAGCCAUGCCGCGUGUGUGAAGAAGGCCUUCGGGUUGUAAAGCACUUUCAGCGAGGAGGAAAGGUUGGCGCCUAAUACGUGUCAACUGUGACGUUACUCGCAGAAGAAGCACCGGCUAACUCCGUGCCAGCAGCCGCGGUAAU